rnacentral:tRNA from 1 species
GGCGGCGUAGCUCAGUUGGCAAGAGCAUUCGGUUCAUACCCGAAGUGUCGUUGGUUCAAAUCCGACCGCCGCUACCA